UACAGAGGGUGGCGAGCGUUAAUCGGAAUUACUGGGGCGUAAAGCGUGCGUAGACGGCUAUCUAAGUCGGGUGUGAAAGCCCCCGGGGCUCAACCUGGGAAUUGCAUUCGAGACUGAAUAGCUAGGGUGCGGUAGAGGGAAGCGGAAUUUCCGGUGUAGCGGUGAAAAUGCGUAGAUAUCGGAAGGAACAUCAGUGGCGAAAGCG
rnacentral:rRNA from 1 species